UACGUAGGGGGCGAGCGUUGUCCGAAGUUACUGGGCGUAAAGCGCGCGUAGGCGGUCCGGUAAGUCCGCUGUGAAAGUCGGGGGCUCAACCCUCGAAUGCCGGUGGAUACUGUCGGGCUAGAGUGCGGAAGAGGCGAGUGGAAUUCCUGGUGUAGCGGUGAAAUGCGCAGAUAUCAGGAGGAACACCUAUUGCGAAGGCAGCUCGCUGGGACGUAACUGACGCUGAGACGCGAAAGCGUGGGGAGCAAACAGG
rnacentral:rRNA from 1 species